rnacentral:rRNA from 1 species
GACGAACGCUGGCGGCGUGCCUAAUACAUGCAAGUCGAGCGAACCAAUAAGAAGCUUGCUUUUUGUUGGUUAGCGGCGGACGGGUGAGUAACACGUGGGUAACCUGCCUGUAAGACCGGGAUAACUCCGGGAAACCGGGUGCUAAUACCGGAUAGAUUAUCUUUCCGCCUGGAGAGAUAAGGAAAGAUGGCUUUUGUCCAUCACUUACAGAUGGGCCCGCGGCGCAUUAGCUAGUUGGUGAGGAACGGCUCACCAAGGCGACGAUGCGUAGCCGACCUGAGAGGGUGAUCGGCCACACUGGGACUGAGACACGGCCCAGACUCCUACGGGAGGCAGCAGUAGGGAAUCUUCCGCAAUGGACGAAAGUCUGACGGAGCAACGCCGCGUGAGCGAAGAAGGUCUUCGGAUCGUAAAGCUCUGUUGUUAGGGAAGAACAAGUAUCGGAGGAAAUGCCGGUACCUUGACGGUACCUGACGAGAAAG